AUUGAACGCUGGCGGCAGGCCUAACACAUGCAAGUCGAGCGAGCGGCGGACGGGUGAGUAAUGUAUGGGGACCUGCCCGAUGGAGGGGGAUAACUACUGGAAACGGUGGCUAAUACCGCAUACUAUCGGAUGAACCCAUAUGGGAUUAGCUAGUAGGUGGGGUAACGGCUCACCUAGGCGACGAUCACUAGCUGGUCUGAGAGGAUGAUCGGCCACACUGGCACGGAGACACGGUCCAGACUCCUACGGGAUGCAGCAGUGGGGAAUAUUGCACAAUGGGCGCAAGCCUGAUGCAGCCAUGCCGCGUGUAUGAAGAAGGCCUUCGGGUUGUAAAGUACUUUCAGCGGGGAGGCGUUACCCGCAGAAGAAGCACCGGCUAACUCCGUGCCAGCAGCCGCGGUAAUUC
rnacentral:rRNA from 1 species